rnacentral:rRNA from 1 species
AUUGAACGCUGGCGGCAUGCUUUACACAUGCAAGUCGAACGGUAACAGGCCGCAAGGUGCUGACGAGUGGCGAACGGGUGAGUAAUGCAUCGGAACGUGCCCAGUCGUGGGGGAUAACGCAGCGAAAGCUGCGCUAAUACCGCAUACGAUCUAUGGAUGAAAGCGGGGGACCGUAAGGCCCCGCGCGAUUGGAGCGGCCGAUGUCAGAUUAGGUAGUUGGUGGGGUAACGGCUCAACAAGCCAACGAUCUGUAGCUGGUCUGAGAGGACGACCAGCCACACUGGGACUGAGACACGGCCCAGACUCCUACGGGAGGCAGCAGUGGGGAAUUUUGGACAAUGGGCGCAAGCCUGAUCCAGCAAUGCCGCGUGCAGGAAGAAGGCCUUCGGGUUGUAAACUGCUUUUGUACGGAACGAAACGGUCCUGGUUAAUACCUGGGGCUAAUGACGGUACCGUAAGAAUAAGCACCGGCUAACUACGUGCCAGCAGCCGCCGUAAGAC